ACCCGACUGCUAUUUGGGUGAGAAUAAGCCAUGCGAGUUGAAUGGGAUACCUAAAGUUCCCAUAGCAAACUGCUCAGUAACACAUGAUCAACUUACCCUAUAGAGAAAAAUAACCUCGGGAAACUGAGGAUAAUUUCUCAUAAUUGAAUUGGCUUGGAAAAGUUUUUCAAUGAAAGGGAUAAAAAAAAUGGUUUUUAUCUGCUAUAGGAUAGGACCGUGUUCGAUUAUGGUUGUUGGUGAGAUAAUGGCUCACCAAGCCGAUAAUCGAUAGGGGCCGUGAGAGCGGGAGCCCCGAGAUGGGUACUGAGACAACGACCCAGGCCUUACGAGGCGCAGCAGGCGCGGAACCUCCGCAAUACACGAAAGUGUGACGGGGUUACCCAAAGUGUUCAAUAGAGCGGGGGGGGGGGGGAGUAAUGUCCCCUACUAGAAAGGAGAGGGCAAGGCUGGUGCCAGCCGCCGCGGUAAAACCAGCUCUUCAAGUGGUCGGGAUAAUUAUUGGGCUUAAAGUGUCCGUAGCCGGUUUAGUAAGUUCCUGGUAAAAUCGGGUAGCUUAACUAUCUGCAUGCUAGGAAUACUGCUAUACUAGAGGGCGGGAGAGGUCUGAGGUACUACAGGGGUAGGGGUNAAAUCNUNUNAUCNNUUGNANGACCACCNGUGGCGAAGGCGNUCNNACNNGAACNCGNNNGACGGUGAGGGANGAAAGCNNGGGGAGCNAACCGGAUUAGAUACCCGGGUAGUCCNNGCNGUAAACGAUGCANACUNGGUGAUGNNNNGGCNNNUGNGCCNGUNNCAGUGCCGNAGGGAAGCCGUUAAGUUUGCCGCCUGGGAAGUACGUACGCAAGUAUGAAACUUAAAGGAAUUGGCGGGGGAGCACCACAAGGGGUGAAGCCUGCGGUUCAAUUGGAGUCAACGCCAGAAAUCUUACCCGAAGAGACAGCAGAAUGAAGGUCAAGCUGGAGACUUUACCAGACAAGCUGAGAAGUGGUGCAUGGCCGUCGCCAGCUCGUGCCGUGAGAUGUCCUGUUAAGUCAGGUAACGAGCGAGAUCCCUGCCUCUAGUUGCCACCAUUACUCUCCGGAGUAGUGGGGCGAAUUAGCGGGACCGCCGUAGUUAAUACGGAGGAAGGAAGGGGCCACGGCAGGUCAGUAUGCCCUGAAACUUUGGGGCCACACGCGGGCUGCAAUGGUAACGACAGUGGGUUCCGAAUCCGAAAGGUGGAGGUAAUCCUCAAACGUUACCACAGUUAUGAUUGAGGGCUGCAACUCGCCCUCAUGAAUAUGGAAUCCCUAGUAACUGCGUGUCAUUAUCGCGCGGUGAAUACGUCCCUGCUCCUUGCACACACCGCCCGUCGUUUCAUUGAAGUUUGCUUUUAGCGAGGUUAUGUCUCAUUGGCGUAAUCGAACUUGAGGUAAGCAACAAGGGAA
rnacentral:rRNA from 1 species